rnacentral:rRNA from 1 species
UGCAUGGCUGUCGUCAGCUCGUGUCGUGAGAUGUUGGGUUAAGUCCCGCAACGAGCGCAACCCUUGUCAUUAGUUGCUACGAAAGGGCACUCUAAUGAGACUGCCGGUGACAAACCGGAGGAAGGUGGGGAUGACGUCAAGUCCUCAUGGCCCUUAUGGGUAGGGCUUCACACGUCAUACAAUGGUACAUACAGAGGGCCGCCAACCCGCGAGGGGGAGCUAAUCCCAGAAAGUGUAUCGUAGUCCGGAUUGGAGUCUGCAACUCGACUCCAUGAAGUUGGAAUCGCUAGUAAUCGCGGAUCAGCAUGUCGCGGUGAAUACGUUCCCGGGUCUUGUACACACCGCCCGUCACACCAUGGGAGCGGGUUUUACCAGAAGUGGGUAGCCUAACCGCAAGGAGGGCGCUC